UCCAAGUCCUGGGGCGAUUGUCGGCUUAGUCGCUGUAUCAUUUCAACUGCUGUGCAGUUCUUCGCUAGUGACUAGACCGAACACUCGUAUCCCAGGCCUUUAC
rfam:Aedes aegypti strain Liverpool supercont1.602 genomic scaffold, whole genome shotgun sequence.